rnacentral:rRNA from 3 species
GACCUCAAAUCAGGUA